UAAGAGGCUGUAAGCCGAUUCUCUCAAAUUAAAAACUAAUGAGAAAUAAUAACUGGAAGACUCCAAAUAAGGUGUACUUACGACUGGCCAAGAUAUCCUGCCAAUAAAAAGGGAGAUGCAAAGGAGCCUCCCAAGACAGCCAGCACGAGGCACCUGGGAGGAUGGUGGUUUGGGAAGUGAAGAUAAAUACUUCCCUAACAUUAACCCCCCCACCACCCCCCAGCUGUGGAUCUCGGGAAGUCCCUCUCUGGUGUUGAUGUUUCACCACUGAACAGAGGAAAGCCGAAAAACCUGGAGAAAGUGCAUCCUCUCAUGUCCCACCAGGGGUCCCAGAGCGUAUUCCUUCUGUGCUGACGGAAGGAUCCAUCCCUUCCCUCCCUGCCUGAAGCCAUGACUAUGCUGGGGGCAAAACGUCUCCAGAAGAGCUGGAGUGAGAGGACCUUCCUGGGGGGUAUUUCCAACAUGCGACUGGGGGAAUGAGAAGAACUUAGCUCAAUUAUUUUGUUUUAAAACAUCUUCCUCCUCAGCCCGAUUUUAUACUUUAAAGUAGUUUUACAAGCUGUGGAGCUCAUGCACGUGUCUGAACCUGAAGGAGGAAUUGCUUCAUCACUGGAGGGGAAGGACAAGGCAUGGAGGUGCAAGGUCCAUCCUAAGAAUGCUGAACAUCAGUCUGGGACAAACCUUGCCUGCUCUCACUGUGACACCAGCACGGAAAGAAAGGAGAGAAGUGCCAUGCCCUGCAGAAGUGGGGGAAAGCAGAUAUAGUUCCUCCCACCUGACUCAUAGGACAGCAGAGCAGCUGAUCCUGCUGGGUCUGAAGGUUUCUGCCUGGUGUUUCUGAUACUUGACAUUAUACAACUCAGCAGGAUCUUGAGG
rnacentral:lncRNA from 1 species